rnacentral:misc_RNA from 1 species
GAUGAAGAACGUAGCGAAAUGCGAUACGUAGUGUGAAUUGCAGAAUUCAGUGAAUCAUCGAAUCUUUGAACGCACAUUGCACCUCUCGGUAUUCCGGGAGGUAUGCCUGUUCGAGCGUCAUUUGUACCCUCAAGCUCUGCUUGGUGUUGGGUGUUUGUUCCGCCUCUGUGUGUGAACUCGCCUCAAAACAAUUGGCAGCCGGCGUACUUGUUUCGGAGCGCAGCACAUUUUGCGAUCCAGAUCAACGUACAGCGGCAUCCAAGAAGCCUUAUUAAACGCUCUUGACCUCGGAUCAGGUAGGGAUACCCGCUGAACUUAAGCAUAUCAAUAAGCGGAGGA